rnacentral:rRNA from 2 species
GAACGUGACGAAGCUAUACAUGCAAGUCGAGCGGACAGAUGGGAGCUUGCUCCCUGAUGUUAGCGGCGGACGGGUGAGUAACACGUGGGUAACCUGCCUGUAAGACUGGGAUAACUCCGGGAAACCGGGGCUAAUACCGGAUGGUUGUUUGAACCGCAUGGUUCAAACAUAAAAGGUGGCUUCGGCUACCACUUACAGAUGGACCCGCGGCGCAUUAGCUAGUUGGUGAGGUAAUGGCUCACCAAGGCAACGAUGCGUAGCCGACCUGAGAGGGUGAUCGGCCACACUGGGACUGAGACACGGCCCAGACUCCUACGGGAGGCAGCAGUAGGGAAUCUUCCGCAAUGGACGAAAGUCUGACGGAGCAACGCCGCGUGAGUGAUGAAGGUUUUCGGAUCGUAAAGCUCUGUUGUUAGGGAAGAACAAGUACCGUUCGAAUAGGGCGGUACCUUGACGGUACCUAACCAGAAAGCCACGGCUAACUACGUGCCAGCAGCCGCGGUAAUACGUAGGUGGCAAGCGUUGUCCGGAAUUAUUGGGCGUAAAGGGCUCGCAGGCGGUUUCUUAAGUCUGAUGUGAAAGCCCCCGGCUCAACCGGGGAGGGUCAUUGGAAACUGGGGAACUUGAGUGCAGAAGAGGAGAGUGGAAUUCCACGUGUAGCGGUGAAAUGCGUAGAGAUGUGGAGGAACACCAGUGGCGAAGGCGACUCUCUGGUCUGUAACUGACGCUGAGGAGCGAAAGCGUGGGGAGCGAACAGGAUUAGAUACCCUGGUAGUCCACGCCGUAAACGAUGAGUGCUAAGUGUUAGGGGUUUCCGCCCCUUAGUGCUGCAGCUAACGCAUAAGCACUCCGCCUGGGGAGUACGGUCGCAAGACUGAAACUCAAAGGAAUUGACGGGGCCCGCACAAGCGGUGGAGCAUGUGAUUAAUUCGAAGCACGCGAGACCUGCG